rnacentral:lncRNA from 1 species
UACUAUUCAUUCAGCCUUAGGAUAAAAACACCAGUAUAUAUUUUUACAUAUCUAUUUUUGUAUUGUGAGUGGGCUAUAUUUGACUUUCGAUGCUGCGUCCUGGCACCUGCUAGUUCUUUUGUUUUUGUUGUUUAGGAGCAUGAAUGUUGAAGCAUAACAGGUUUGAAGUAUAUCUUUUUGCAUUGCGCCGGGGAUGAAGAAUUCUGGAAAGCUUGGUUUGAGGGGGCCAUUUUUUUUCUUUAAUUUUCACUUUUUUUUAUAUAUAUUAUUUUACAAUUUUCUUUUCGUUUGUGAAUGUGAUGUAUGUGUUGAGAAUAAUAUGC